UACGGGGGGGGCAAGCGUUGUUCGGAAUUACUGGGCGUAAAGGGCUCGUAGGCGGCCAACUAAGUCAGACGUGAAAUCCCUCAGCUUAACUGGGGAACUGCGUCUGAUACUGGAAGGCUUGAGUUCGGGAGAGGGAUGUGGAAUUCCAGGUGUAGCGGUGAAAUGCGUAGAGAUGCGGAGGAACACCGAUGGCGAAGGCAGCCCCCUGGGCUGACACUGACGCUCAGGCACGAAAGCGUGGGGAGCAAACAGG
rnacentral:rRNA from 1 species